rnacentral:rRNA from 1 species
GCUCAGGAUGAACGCUAGCUACAGGCUUAACACAUGCAAGUCGAGGGGAAACGAUAGAGAAAGCUUGCUUUUUCUAGGCGUCGACCGGCGCACGGGUGAGUAACGCGUAUCCAACCUGCCCAUCACUUGGGGAUAACCUUGCGAAAGUAAGACUAAUACCCAAUGAGGUCUCUAGAAGACAUCUGAAAGAGAUUAAAGAUUUAUCGGUGAUGGAUGGGGAUGCGUCUGAUUAGCUUGUUGGCGGGGUAACGGCCCACCAAGGCGACGAUCAGUAGGGGUUCUGAGAGGAAGGUCCCCCACAUUGGAACUGAGACACGGUCCAAACUCCUACGGGAGGCAGCAGUGAGGAAUAUUGGUCAAUGGGCGAGAGCCUGAACCAGCCAAGUAGCGUGCAGGAUGACGGCCCUAUGGGUUGUAAACUGCUUUUAUAAGGGAAUAAAGUGGGAGUCGUGACUCCUUUUGCAUGUACCUUAUGAAUAAGGACCGGCUAAUUCCGUGCCAGCAGCCGCGGUAAUACGGAAGGUCCGGGCGUUAUCCGGAUUUAUUGGGUUUAAAGGGAGCGUAGGCCGGAGAUUAAGCGUGUUGUGAAAUGUAGACGCUCAACGUCUGCACUGCAGCGCGAACUGGUUUCCUUGAGUACGCACAAAGUGGGCGGAAUUCGUGGUGUAGCGGUGAAAUGCUUAGAUAUCACGAAGAACUCCGAUUGCGAAGGCAGCUCACUGGAGCGCAACUGACGCUGAAGCUCGAAAGUGCGGGUAUCGAACAGGAUUAGAUACCCUGGUAGUCCGCACGGUAAACGAUGGAUGCCCGCUGUUGGUCUGAAUAGGUCAGCGGCCAAGCGAAAGCAUUAAGCAUCCCACCUGGGGAGUACGCCGGCAACGGUGAAACUCAAAGGAAUUGACG